rnacentral:rRNA from 1 species
GACGAACUGUGCAAACGUUAUUCGGAAUCACUGGGCUUGAAGAGUGCGUAGGCGGUUUCGUAAGUAGGGUGUGAAAGCCCCUGGCUCAACCAGGGAGGGUCGUGGGAAACGGGGGAGCUGGAGGCAGCGAGAGGCUGGUGGAAUUCCCGGAGUAGUGGUGAAAUGCGUAGAGAUCGGGAGGAACACCGGUGGCGAAGGCGGCGAGCUGGCGCUGACCUGACGCUGAGGCGCGAAGGCGUGGGGAGCGAACGGG